UACGUAGGGUGCGAGCGUUGUCCGGAAUUAUUGGGCGUAAAGAGCUUGUAGGCGGUCUGUCGCGUCUGCUGUGAAAAUCCGGGGCUCAACCCCGGACUUGCAGUGGGUACGGGCAGACUAGAGUGUGGUAGGGGAGACUGGAAUUCCUGGUGUAGCGGUGAAAUGCGUAGAUAUCAGGAGGAACACCCAUGGCGAAGGCAGCUUCCUGGCCCAAUUCUGACGCUGAGGUGCGAAAGCGUGGGUAGCGAACGGG
rnacentral:rRNA from 1 species